UGGGGAAUAUUGGACAAUGGGCGAAAGCCUGAUCCAGCCAUGCCGCGUGUGUGAAGAAGGUCUUCGGAUUGUAAAGCACUUUAAGUUGGGAGGAAGGGCAGUAAGCGAAUACCUUGCUGUUUUGACGUUACCGACAGAAUAAGCGCCGGCUAACUCUGUGCCAGCAGCCGCGGUAAUACAGAGGGUGCAAGCGUUAAUCGGAAUUACUGGGCGUAAAGCGCGCGUAGGUGGUUCGUUAAGUUGAAUGUGAAAGCCCCGGGCUCAACCUGGGAACUGCAUCCAAAACUGGCGAGCUAGAGUAGGGCAGAGGGUGGUGGAAUUUCCUGUGUAGCGGUGAAAUGCGUAGAUAUAGGAAGGAACACCAGUGGCGAAGGCGACCACCUGGGCUCAUACUGACACUGAGGUGCGAAAGCGUGGGGAGCAAACAGG
rnacentral:rRNA from 1 species